CACUAUCGUUAACUGAAUACAUAGGUUAACGAGGCGAACCGGGGGAACUGAAACAUCUAAGUACCCCGAGGAAAAGAAAUCAACCGAGAUUCCCCCAGUAGCGGCGAGCGAACGGGGAGCAGCCCAGAGUCUGAAUCAGCUUGUGUGUUAGUGGAACGGUCUGGAAAGUCCGACGGUACAGGGUGAUAGUCCCGUACACCAAAAUGCACAGGUUGUGAACUCGAAGAGUAGGGCGGGACACGUGGUAUCCUGUCUGAAUAUGGGGGGACCAUCCUCCAAGGCUAAAUACUCCUGACUGACCGAUAGUGAACCAGUACCGUGAGGGAAAGGCGAAAAGAACCCCGGCGAGGGGAGUGAAAAAGAACCUGAAACCGUGUACGUACAAGCAGUGGGAGCACCUU
rnacentral:rRNA from 2 species